UACAGAGGGAGCAAGCGUUGUUCGGAAUUACUGGGCGUAAAGGGCGCGUAGGCGGUUCGAUAAGUCCCGUGUGAAAUCCCUCGGCUCAACUGAGGAAUGGCACGGGAAACUGACGGGCUUGAGUUCGGGAGAGGGAAGCGGAAUUCCGGGUGUAGCGGUGAAAUGCGUAGAUAUCCGGAGGAACACCGGUGGCGAAGGCGGCUCACUGGACUGGUAUUGACGCUGAGGUGCGAAAGCGUGGGGAGCAAACAGG
rnacentral:rRNA from 1 species